CACACGUGGGGCCAUGGUGUAAGAUUUUGGUUGAAAGAGGUGUUCUUGAUGUUAGGAAUAACUGUAUUCCUUUCUUCCCAGGACAAAGAUCUAUUGAAGAAUGUGCGGAGUUCUUUGUCAAACCUAAUUACUACUGUCCUCACGCAUGGUUUCAUAGUUUUCUUCCUUGUAGAUAUUCUCACAUAUCUUCUUCCUCUGCUAGUGAUUUUAUGCCCAUGGUGGCUCCCUCACCUUGAUGUUCAUCAUCAUAUAUAUCAGCGUGUUUGUUCUCUUCAUUGUAAUGAAAAUAAUCGAAUUAUGUUUCCACCAACAAAAUCAUGGUAAGAGAAGGCCAAGAGUGGUGUUGUGUUGGGAAUACAAGUAUAAUCUUGUAUUUGUUAACUAGUAUAUGAUUUCCAUGUCCAUUAAUGAAUGUGUCAAUGCCAUUUGCGUAUAGUAGUCACGAUUCGUGAUACAAAGAAAAUUCUAUUGUUUUUAUGGUUAAAUAAGACGAAUUGAUAGUUGAGUUAAUUAAAAGCAAUGCCACAGUGUUUGCCUGUAUUAAUAAAUUGAUGAUUAUAAGUACAAAAAGUGUUAUAUUAAUACGUAGACUUAUAUAGAGAUAAAAAAGAAAAAAUAUAUAUAUAGUGAGUUUGUUUGAAUGUACACCGUAGGGAUAGCGAUAACGAUAUAAUUGCGAGUAAUGUAAUAAUGUAAGUGGUCCUACUCAUGGUCUAUCAUAUAAAAUUAUAAAUCAUGUGAAUGGGCAUUUUUCCUCCACGUCUAUUGCAUUUGAUGGGUUAAAUGUACCAAAGAUAAAGAGGGGUGACCAAAGGUGACCCCUUCCUACCAAACCCAUUAACAUUUUUCGUCAACUAAUCAUUUAUAAUUUUCUUUUUCCAAUCACAAUAGACUGCAUCCAGCUAAGAAAAGGCAACCCGCAGCUACGAAAUAACAUUUAACUUACCUAUCUAUCUAUAUAUAAUACUCCAUCCGUUUUUCAAUCCGUUUUUCAAUAUAAGUCGUUUUAAAGAAACUUUUUUGUUCCAAAUUAUGUCGUUUUUGGUUUUCUAUGUAACAUUUAUUAAUAAUUAAUGUUGUCUGACCAAUGAUAAUAUAUCUUCUAUUUUUCUAUUGGUUAAAUUGUGGUUUGGUAAAUAAUUAAUGAUGUUUUUGUUUUGAAAAUAUAAAAAAUUAAUGAUUUUCUUAAUCUAUGUGCAUAGCUUUAAAACGACUUAUAUUAAAAAACGGAAGGAGUAAUAAAGAGGGGUUUUCUCUCACCACAGGCUGCCAGAUCAGCAAGGAGGAGGUAGCGUUUUUGGACAGGUGUAGCCUCAGCAAACCAACUAUAUAUGUGUAAUUCCGGUCUUAUUCGAACUGGACUUUUAUUAAAAUUUGUUAUUAAGCCCAAUAUUAUGUUAAGCCCGCGUAUUAUUAGCUAUCUUACUUCCCUGACACAAUUUCCAGAAACUUAAAUCGACGUUCAGAUCUCCGUAUCGCCUCAGCUUUCCAUUAAUCUGUUCUUAACUCAGAGUUUUUGCGUGAUCCACUCCUCUCACUGGAAGCUUUCAAUCGAUCCAGAAACAUAUUUUGUUCUAGGGACGAUGGCGACCAGCUUUCAGCCGGUCGAGUUCUUCGCAGCUGGUGGUCACGCUUUCGUUUUCACGGAGGCACCUAAUCUAUAUUAAUAAGAAGGGAGCUAAUGGGUUGAUAUCCUCCUCAAUGAUGAAAAGAUUGUCCUCCUCAUCUUCCCUCGCCUUCCUUUUCCAAUAUAAACUGCCAUCACCUAUUAUCUUAACCAUAAUAUAUUUAAUUUUAUUGAGUGCUUUUUAUAUUUAUGGUUAAUUAUAGGUUUGGAAAUUUCAUAGAGGUAUUCCAAAUUUCACAGAGAUUCAGUCCCAUAUGUUCCGUUUGAUUUGGGUCUAUGACUUUUAAAUUUUUUGUUUUUGUUAAGGAAAAGGGAUGAUGAUAGACGCGCUGCUUCUGCUGUUGCCAAAUUGAUGAUAGACGCGCUGCCUCAGAGCGUGCUGCCAAAUUGAUGAUAGACGCGCUGCUUCUGCUGUUCCUGGCUCUCGCAAGACGGUGACUUGAGGCUGCGCAAGCUCAGGUUUGGCUCCUUUGAAAUCUGUGUGUUCUUUGGUCGUUUAUAUUUUCAGUGCGUUAAGGUGUUAGCUUCUGCUUCUUGAUUAGUUUUAAACAAAGUGUGGAGUAUGUUACAACAAUCAAGCAGAAAAAUUCAAGGUAGACCGAAAGUUAGAUUCUUUGAUGUGUGAAUCUGUGGCUAUGAUGUAUUAAAACAUUUUGGUUUGCAGGAACAAAUUGUUACCAUGAAGUUAAGAUCGUAUGGAUAGUUGGAAUCUCCUAUAGUUGGAACCUCCUUUGCAGCUGAAGAAUAAGCCUGUCGCUUCAAGUUUCUUACACACAGCUCCUCAUCAUGGGAACUUCGUAGACUCUGCUUCUGGUGGUUAAAGUUUUCAUUCAUAAACAUCGGAAUAACAAAGGAAAAUUUUGACUUUUGAGAUUCAGGUUCCAUGAGCACUAAAGUUUGGUUUUGGAUAGGGAGUUUAGGUAAGACGUUCCUGACUCUUGAUCGACGCACAUGGAAAGUCACUGCAGACGUAGCUGAAGGCGACACUGACGAUAUCAACCAGGCGGUGAAAGCUGCAAGGAAGACCAUUGAUGUGGACCUUGGCCAAAAGAUGACCGCUUAUGUGUAAUAUUAUAUAUUGUUCUCGAGUAUUGAAAGUUAUGAAAUUAAUGUGAUAUGGACUUAUCUUUGUUUUGUUUUCAGGAAAGGUGAAGGACAAUGUUGAGAUUCAUGGGACAAUGGGAAGACCUAUGAACAAGCAAAAAAAGCAGAGAUUCUAGUGCUUGCCAGAUUGUUUCACUCCUAUGCUGGUAUACCACACAAAAAUCUUGAGAAUAUUAUAAAAGUUUCUUGCUUUUAUUAGUAAGUUUGCUUUGAUGUGUAGGAUGUGCGGAUAAGAUUCAUGGACUAAUUAACAGUUCCAGUUGAUGGAAACUAUCAUGUCCAGACACUGCAUGAACCAAAAGGUGUUGCUGGACAGAUCAUUUCAUGGAACUUUCCGCUUCUUAUGGUUGCUUGGAAAGUUGGUCUUUCUCUUUCUUGUGGUAAAACCAUUGUCCUCAAAACCGCCGAACAAACUCCCCUCACUGCUUUUUACGGAAAGCUUUUCCUUGAAGUAAUCAAUGUUCCUUUCACCUGCUACUUACCAUUCUUGCUACUAAAAUAAAAAGCUGUAAGUAAACAAUGUUUCUUGAAAUGUAUGAUAGGCAGGUCUUCCUCUUGGUGUUAUAAACAUAGUUUCUGAAUUUGGUCCAAUCGCAGGGACUUUCCUCACGAGCCUCAUGGGUUUGGCUCUUACCAAAUUUUCUAAGUACAUCUUCACUUUUUGUUCUGGCGUAUAUGUGUCUUCUUUUAUUGUUUGUUUCUCUUUAAUUAAGAAAAGUAGGGAUUGGCUAUAAGCUCUAGCUGUGUGGUUGAUUCAGAACAAUGAUUGGCACGCGCUGUAUCCUUUGACUUAUUUUUUUUUCUUUUUCUUAAUCGCAUCUCACCAUAUUUUUCCUCUCUUUUGCUUAAUCGCACGGUACCAUACUCAAUUUUGCUCUCGAUUGUUGUCAGGUUAAUAUAAUAGAUACUCGACUCAUCACUGAAGUUGAGGGAGGGAAGUCUCUUAGAAAACCAACAUAUAGAAGCUAUAUCAGUUUAGAGAAACAGGGAAGAAGCAAGAGAGGAGAGAUGCACAUACAUAGCCAAGAAGAUGCAAGAACUUAACAAAGAGCAGAGGAGGAAAAGUCACUAGCUUUAGCUGCUCAAGCGGAGCUCAGAAACGCGAAGGAAGAGUCAGGUUAAGCGAAGACAGGAGUCUCUUCAAUAGAAAGUCAAUUGAGGCGGAAAGGGAAAUGAGUGGGGUGAUGGAAUUCAUGGACCAUAGUCAGCUACAAUGCCUAUACAAUGUGGUCGCUGAAGCCUUCGAGAGAGAAGGAGACUUGAAACAAAUGGAAUAUUUAUUAAGGCUACUGCAAUCAGAGAGAAUAAAACAAAGAUGUGUUCACCUUUGUCAUUUUAUAAGGAUUUAUGACAUAUAAGUGACUUUGAAGGGUACUUCUCAAAACUUUAUGCUAAUCUCAGAUUAGUCUAUAAAUGAUAAACUGUACAAAUGAUUUAUUAACUUUUUAUGCCUGGUUUGUCAUUUCUUGACAUCCGUUUCAACUCUUUCUCCGGUUCAAUCCCACCACAAAUCUUUGGUCAGAACCUCGACGUUCUCUUCAUUAAUGACAACACCUUUACUGCGAGCCUCCCGGAGAUACCUGGCGAUAGUCACAUCCUUUUUCUAACUUUAGCAGACAAUAAGUUCAACGGUCCUCUCCCGAGAAGCAUCCUAAGAUCUAUGACAACGUUAACCGAGGUACUUUUCUUGAAUAACGACUUUACGGGUUGUAUCCCUUACGAAAUCGGGUUACUCAAGGGAGCAUCAGUUAUCGAUAUCAGUGGAAAUAAGCUCACAGGUCCUUUACCCCUUUCACUUAUGUGUCUAGAGAAAGUGGAGCAGCUCAACUUUGCUGGGAAUCUCUUGUUUGGGGCAAUCCCAGAUGCAGUGUGCAUGUUCCUCCGAGAGAAUCUUGUCAACUUUUCCUUGUCUGAUAACUAUUUCACACACGUGGGGCCAUGGUGUAAGAUUUUGGUUGAAAGAGGUGUUCUUGAUGUUAGGAAUAACUGUAUUCCUUUCUUCCCAGGACAAAGAUCUAUUGAAGAAUGUGCGGAGUUCUUUGUCAAACCUAAUUACUACUGUCCUCACGCAUGGUUUCAUAGUUUUCUUCCUUGUAGAUAUUCUCACAUAUCUUCUUCCUCUGCUAGUGAUUUUAUGCCCAUGGUGGCUCCCUCACCUUGAUGUUCAUCAUCAUAUAUAUCAGCGUGUUUGUUCUCUUCAUUGUAAUGAAAAUAAUCGAAUUAUGUUUCCACCAACAAAAUCAUGGUAAGAGAAGGCCAAGAGUGGUGUUGUGUUGGGAA
rnacentral:lncRNA from 1 species